rnacentral:rRNA from 1 species
GAUGAACGCUGGCGGCGUGCCUAAUACAUGCAAGUCGAGCGAACGGACGAGAAGCUUGCUUCUCUGAUGUUAGCGGCGGACGGGUGAGUAACACGUGGAUAACCUACCUAUAAGACUGGGAUAACUUCGGGAAACCGGAGCUAAUACCGGAUAAUAUUUUGAACCGCAUGGUUCAAAAGUGAAAGACGGUCUUGCUGUCACUUAUAGAUGGAUCCGCGCUGCAUUAGCUAGUUGGUAAGGUAACGGCUUACCAAGGCAACGAUGCAUAGCCGACCUGAGAGGGUGAUCAGCCACGCUGGAACUGAGACACGGUCCAGACUCCUACGGGAGGCAGCAGUAGGGAAUCUUCCGCAAUGGGCGAAAGCCUGACGGAGCAACGCCGCGUGAGUGAUGAAGGUCUUCGGAUCGUAAAACUCUGUUAUUAGGGAAGAACAUAUGUGUAAGUAACUGUGCACAUCUUGACGGUACCUAAUCAGAAAGCCACGGCUAACUACGUGCCAGCAGCCGCGGUAAUACGUAGGUGGCAAGCGUUAUCCGGAAUUAUUGGGCGUAAAGCGCGCGUAGGCGGUUUUUUAAGUCUGAUGUGAAAGCCCACGGCUCAACCGUGGAGGGUCAUUGGAAACUGGAAAACUUGAGUGCAGAAGAGGAAAGUGGAAUUCCAUGUGUAGCGGUGAAAUGCGCAGAGAUAUGGAGGAACACCAGUGGCGAAGGCGACUUUCUGGUCUGUAACUGACGCUGAUGUGCGAAAGCGUGGGGAUCAAACAGGAUUAGAUACCCUGGUAGUCCACGCCGUAAACGAUGAGUGCUAAGUGUUAGGGGGUUUCCGCCCCUUAGUGCUGCAGCUAACGCAUUAAGCACUCCGCCUGGGGAGUACGACCGCAAGGUUGAAACUCAAAGGAAUUGACGGGGACCCGCACAAGCGGUGGAGCAUGUGGUUUAAUUCGAAGCAACGCGAAGAACCUUACCAAAUCUUGACAUCCUUUGACAACUCUAGAGAUAGAGCCUUCCCCUUCGGGGGACAAAGUGACAGGUGGUGCAUGGUUGUCGUCAGCUCGUGUCGUGAGAUGUUGGGUUAAGUCCCGCAACGAGCGCAACCCUUAAGCUUAGUUGCCAUCAUUAAGUUGGGCACUCUAAGUUGACUGCCGGUGACAAACCGGAGGAAGGUGGGGAUGACGUCAAAUCAUCAUGCCCCUUAUGAUUUGGGCUACACACGUGCUACAAUGGACAAUACAAAGGGCAGCGAAACCGCGAGGUCAAGCAAAUCCCAUAAAGUUGUUCUCAGUUCGGAUUGUAGUCUGCAACUCGACUACAUGAAGCUGGAGUCGCUAGUAAUCGUAGAUCAGCAUGCUACGGUGAAUACGUUCCCGGGUCU